UGGGGAAUAUUGCACAAUGGGCGCAAGCCUGAUGCAGCCAUGCCGCGUGUAUGAAGAAGGCCUUCGGGUUGUAAAGUACUUUCAGUCGGGAGGAAGGUGGUAAGGUUAAUAACCUUGGCAAUUGACGUUACCGACAGAAGAAGCACCGGCUAACUCCGUGCCAGCAGCCGCGGUAAUACGGAGGGUGCAAGCGUUAAUCGGAAUUACUGGGCGUAAAGCGCACGCAGGCGGUUGAUUGAGUCAGAUGUGAAAUCCCCGGGCUUAACCCGGGAAUUGCAUCUGAUACUGGUCAGCUAGAGUCUUGUAGAGGGGGGUGGAAUUCCAUGUGUAGCGGUGAAAUGCGUAGAGAUGUGGAGGAAUACCGGUGGCGAAGGCGGCCCCCUGGACGAAGACUGACGCUCAGGUGCGAAAGCGUGGGGAGCAAACAGG
rnacentral:rRNA from 1 species